rnacentral:rRNA from 1 species
GAUAGCUUGCUAUCAAUGCUGACGAGCGGCGGACGGGUGAGUAAUGCCUGGGAAUAUGCCCUGAUGUGGGGGAUAACUAUUGGAAACGAUAGCUAAUACCGCAUAAUCUCUUCGGAGCAAAGAGGGGGACCUUCGGGCCUCUCGCGUCAGGAUUAGCCCAGGUGGGAUUAGCUUGUUGGUGGGGUAAUGGCUCACCAAGGCAACGAUCCCUAGCUGGUCUGAGAGGAUGAUCAGCCACACUGGAACUGAGACACGGUCCAGACUCCUACGGGAGGCAGCAGUGGGGAAUAUUGCACAAUGGGGGAAACCCUGAUGCAGCCAUGCCGCGUGUAUGAAGAAGGCCUUCGGGUUGUAAAGUACUUUCAGUUGUGAGGAAGGCGUUGAUGUUAAUAGCUUCAGCGUUUGACGUUAGCAACAGAAGAAGCACCGGCUAACUCCGUGCCAGCAGCCGCGGUAAUACGGAGGGUGCGAGCGUUAAUCGGAAUUACUGGGCGUAAAGCGCAUGCAGGUGGUCUGUUAAGCAAGAUGUGAAAGCCCGGGGCUCAACCUCGGAACAGCAUUUUGAACUGGCAGACUAGAGUACUGUAGAGGGGGGUAGAAUUUCAGGUGUAGCGGUGAAAUGCGU